UUUUUUUUUUUUUUUUUUUGGUUUUUCUAUGCCUUAGAUGAAUGUAGACUCAAGAGUAUAUACAAUGCAACACACACUUCCUGAGCCCUCCCCCAAACUUAAAUCACACAACACACGCUUAGAGGAUACUCGACCUCUCUCCUUCUGCUGCAGCCACCACUGCGGUCGAGUGAUCUCCUCGAGUGAAUAAGACGUGAUCUUCUGCUAGAGCGAAAGAGUGUAGCCUUCUUUCUCCUCUUGUGUUCCCUGGACUCGAAUGAUGAAUGUCUAACAGGGACAUGUGAGACUCUCUGCUCACUAGGCUCAGGCCUGUACUGACCUGGCUUAGGCUCAUCAAAUCUCCUCGAUGGCAUGUCCAAAGCUGGAUGUCCCUAUGGAAUAGCUGUAGUGGAAGAGGAGCAGCUCAGCUUAUCUGUCAGAAACUUGAUAGUCUUGAAGCACUUGGCGAGUAACUUAUCAUGUUUCUUGCACCACUUCUACAGCUUGCUGUUGUUCAUGUGAGCUUCACUCAAACUCUUGCUUUCCCUCGCUGGAGGUACAUGCUCACUAAAAUGAUACAUGCUAGUGUCAAACUCGACUUCUCUGUCUUCACCCAUCCCAUCCUCAGUAGCUUCUUCUAUAAGAAUAUCCUCCUCCAAUGGUUGAGCGUUUUCGUAGUAGAGGUUCUCAAGCUCAGACCUAAAAUCAAUGUUAUCUCCCUCUAUUAUGCGUGUAACCUCAGGACUAGGGAGAAGGAUGCUGAUUUUCUUAUCUGUAGAGUGCUCAAACCUGAAACGAUGCCUGUCGCCAACCAUUGCGAACUCCAGGAUUUCGCUGUGAUGUAGGUGCUCAAUAUCCAUUGCCCAUGGCUCAAGUCCAGCAGAUGUGAUAGGGACUCCACAAGCGACCAUCAGAUGGUAAGAGUCCAUGUUAUCUCUUGGGAGUAGAGGACAUUGGCUAGAAAACGCUGGAAGUACCUGAUGACCGGACUGCGUAUCUGAUUGCUCUUCGAUCUAGAAGAGUUCAGAGGUAUAGAGCUGAAGAUGCAGAGUUCAAUCAAUCAGCUGAUGGCGAUCUGAGCGUUGAUGGAUUUCAGGAAGGUGCAUCGAGUUUCAUCAGACGCUUGAGUUGCAGACAUGGAUGCGAGAGCACACGUGGCAAGCUAAGGCGGAUGAUGUGGAGAGUCAAGGAUGGAAGCUGACUUGGCGUGGUGUCAAAGACAAGAAUCACCGAGAAGAUAUGGAAGAUAUCGUCUUGAAAAAUUAGGAAGGAAUAAGCUUGGAGAAAACAAGAAAGAUUCCUUAAAACGAGAUUCUCGGAGAUCCUAGGUUUAGGGUUCUGGAGAGUAGGUAUAAGUAUUCUAGAGCUUAGUGUGAGGCGCUUUGAGCACUCUAGAAUACUGUCAUACAAUUGUAAACUUCAGAGCAUUGCAAAAGCUUGAAGGUGAGUGUGUAGUUCUCUUUGUCUUCACGUGAGAGUGAUAAGAAACAGAGAAGAGAAUUAGGCUUAGGUAUUCUUAGUCGGGUUUGAUCUUUUGGGUAGAAUAGAUCAAGUAAUCUCCGAGAUAACACUUGUAAUCAGUUUGUUAUCAAUAAAA
rnacentral:sRNA from 1 species